UGGGGAAUAUUGCACAAUGGGGGAAACCCUGAUGCAGCGACGCCGCGUGAAGGAUGAAGUAUUUCGGUAUGUAAACUUCUAUCAGCAGGGAAGAAAAUGACGGUACCUGACUAAGAAGCCCCGGCUAACUACGUGCCAGCAGCCGCGGUAAUACGUAGGGGGCAAGCGUUAUCCGGAUUUACUGGGUGUAAAGGGAGUGUAGACGGCAGUGCAAGUCUGAAGUGAAAGCCCGGGGCUCAACCCCGGGACUGCUUUGGAAACUGUGCAGCUAGAGUGUCGGAGAGGCAAGCGGAAUUCCUAGUGUAGCGGUGAAAUGCGUAGAUAUUAGGAGGAACACCAGUGGCGAAGGCGGCUUGCUGGACGAUGACUGACGUUGAGGCUCGAAAGCGUGGGGAGCAAACA
rnacentral:rRNA from 1 species